GGAUCCUACGGGAGGCAGCAGUAGGGAAUUUUCGUCAAUGGGCGCAAGCCUGAACGAGCAAUGCCGCGUGAACGAGGAAGGUCUUCGGAUCGUAAAGUUCUGUUGAAGGGGAAAAAGAGCGGAGAGAGGAAAUGAACUCCGAUUGAUAUUACCCUUCGAGGAAGUCACGGCUAACUACGUGCCAGCAGCCGCGGUAAUACGUAGGUGGCGAGCGUUAUCCGGAAUUAUUGGGCGUAAAGGGUGCGCAGGCGGCAAGAAAAGCUUAAGGUGAAAGCGUGGGGCUCAACCCCAUAAAGCCUUAGGAA
rnacentral:rRNA from 1 species